GGCCCGCUAGCUCAACCUGGCAGAGCAACUGACUCUUAAUCAGUAGGUUGUCGGUUCAAUUCCGACGCGGGUCACCA
rnacentral:tRNA from 1 species